CUAAGAAGAGAUGAGCAAUAGAAGCUGGCCAAAGCCCCAUUGAAUGGCCUCUACACCGGCUCACAGGGCACACCAAAGCCACUUCCUCCAUGGUUUAGAGGAAGAACAUCGGGACUGAGUGAAGAAGACUCAUUAGAUGCCUGUGGCUCUAUUCGAGGCACACUCCAGAAAAGAACAGGGUAGAUCUGCCGCUGAAAUAAACUAGCAAGGCACAACUCAACAGGAUUUGGACUCCUAAGUUCCCUGUGCCAGGCAAGGGAGCAGCUGAGAGUGUCUUCUCAGGAGCUGCAGUCCUGAAGCCUGGGGAACUGGGUCAUUGCUAGAAGAGGCGGCUCUCUGCAUGCCAGGAGAAACCCAGCCCAGGAGCUGCAGCCCGGCAAUCCCAGGACAGAAGCGAGAGUGCACCCUACAUCUUCUCAUUCUGCAGCCCUCAGCAUGGCACUUGGCACAGGGCAGUGGCUGGAUAAAUAUUUGCUGAGUUGUACUAAAUACAAAUAACAAGGUUUGAUUAAGGAUCGCAUGAAGGUUGGACACACCUUCUUGACAAUACGGAAAUAAUUUAGUUAAGAGUCACAGAUGCUCUACGCAGGAAAGAAAAUGAGUAAAAUAAAGGGAAACGUUUCCUACCUAUAGGGGGAAACAUCAUAAAUAUUAGACCCUGCACCUGAUGGAUCAGCUGGCACCACCCGGAUCAAUAAACUGGCUCAUCUGAUCUUAUGGCCCCAACCCAGGAACUGACUGAGCGCAAGAAGACAGCUCCACCUCCCUAUGAUCUCAUCCCUGACCAAUCAGCACUCCUGGCUCACUGGCUUCCCCCUACCCACCAAGUUAUCCUUAAAAACUCUGCUCCUUGAAUGCUCGGGGGAGACUGACUGGAGUAAUAAUGAAACUCCAGCCUCCCACACAGAUGCCCUGAGUGAAUUACUCUUUCUCUAUUGCAAUUCCCCCGUCUUGGUGAAUCAGCUCUGUCUGGGCAGCAGGCAAGGUGAACCCCUUGGGCGGUUACAUUAUCGGGUUGAAGUACAAACAGGCACACAGGGGUCCGCCAGGUGGGGAUUGGGCAGCCGCUGCUGUCUCUCUUCCCACAGCCAAUUUUCUUACUGGAGGAAACCAACCUUCACUCCACUCCACAAUGGAAUGAAUACACAGAGCAGGCUCUUUGUAUAUUUAUUGUUUACAAAAUCAGGCUCUGUUUACAAAACUUUUUUGUACUUGCUAUUUUUCACUUAAAAAAAAAUCACAGCCAUCUCUCUAGGCUAAUGUCUAUCCAUUGAACUCAUCUUUUUGAAUGGCUGCAUAGUAUUCCUCAGAAUAUACCUACUAUAAUUUAUCCAGCCAGCCCUCCAAGUUCCUUUACUAACAAGGCUUAUGUUGUUUUAUUUCACUACAAAAAUAAUUUACAAAAAUGAUUACAUGUAUUUUGCAUGUAUUUCCAGAAUAGAGUUUUCUAAAAAGAUAUCGUCACUUUACCAUUAAAAAAGAAAACAUUCCACGCCCUUUUUAGUAACAUGUGAUCAUGCUGGUUUCUGGAAGCGCUGGUCACCUUUAAUUUUAUUCCGUCCUUGGCUUUGGUUGAGUAAAGCCACGUGUCUCGUCAUUUCCUGGCCCCCAGGGAGGGUAAGCGUUCUCUCACACCCUCACCGUCCACAGCUCCUCGUCUGUGAAAUUGUGAUUCAUAUCCUUUGCCUGUUUUUCUUCUUUCUUUUCACAUUUUUCACAUUGAUUCAUAAUAGCUGUCUGUACACUGCGGUGCUAACCCCUUUGCCCACCUUAUCUGUCACCAGUAUUUUCUUACAGCUUAUUGUUGAUAUUGUUUUGUUGUUUUUCUAUUUUGCUCAUGGUAUUUUUUCCCAUGUAUACAUAAACGUUUUCGGUCAUUCAGUCAUUUGAAAAGAAUCCCAGUCUCCGUGGCCUGCAUGUGACUUUCUCACUAAGCCUUGCAUUUUGGGGUGAGUGGCCGAGCCCCUGACGGGCCUGUUCCUUCCGGUGCCCUCACCAGGCUCAGCCCUGGUUCAGGCCCUGCUCCCUCCUCCCAGCGAGUCCUCCUGGGGGGCUCAGCCCUGGUUCACGCCCUGCUCCCUCCUCCCAGCGAGUCCUCCUGGGGGGCUCAGCCCUGGUUCAGGCCCUGCUCCCUCCUCCCAGCGAGUCCUCCUGGGGGGCUCAGCCCUGGUUCACGCCCUGCCCCCUCCUCCCAGCGAGUCCUCCUGGGGGCAUCUGACUCCACUGACUCCACCCCUGGGCCGUGCUGUCUCCUGGUGAUGCUCAGAGGUGUCGGCUCCCUCCCUGAUGAAUGCCUGUCCCAGCAGAUGUGUGGCUACGGUGCUAGUGAAAAAAGCUCUCUUUGAUAGCUACAAAAAACACAAAUGUGACUGAAGAGCUGAUUUUAACAAGUAAUAGACAGUGUUCUGUAUUGCUGAUCUAUAGGGCUGUUCUGAGACUACAUCUGGUUUAUAUUCAGCAUUUUCUAUCUUUACUUCUCCCUAAUUCAGAUUUUAGUAAUGUGGUAAAAAAAAUUUAAAAUUAAAAAUUCAAAUAUGU
rnacentral:lncRNA from 1 species